AACUUUUAACAGUGGAUCACUCGGCUUGGCAGCUCAUGUGUCGAUGCAGAACACAGCUAGCUGGAGAAUUAAUGUGAAUUUCAGGACACAUUGAUCAUCAACACUUCAAACACACUUGCGGCCCCAGCUUCCGCCCGAGGCUACAAUAAAAAAAAAUAUU
rnacentral:rRNA from 1 species